rnacentral:rRNA from 1 species
GGUUAAGCGACUAAGCGUACACGGUGGAUGCCCUGGCAGUCAGAGGCGAUGAAGGACGUGCUAAUCUGCGAUAAGCGUCGGUAAGGUGAUAUGAACCGUUAUAACCGGCGAUUUCCGAAUGGGGAAACCCAGUGUGUUUCGACACACUAUCAUUAACUGAAUCCAUAGGUUAAUGAGGCGAACCGGGGGAACUGAAACAUCUAAGUACCCCGAGGAAAAGAAAUCAACCGAGAUUCCCCCAGUAGCGGCGAGCGAACGGGGAGCAGCCCAGAGCCUGAAUCAGUGUGUGUGUUAGUGGAAGCGUCUGGAAAGGCGCGCGAUACAGGGUGACAGCCCCGUACACAAAAAUGCACAUGCUGUGAGCUCGAUGAGUAGGGCGGGACACGUGGUAUCCUGUCUGAAUAUGGGGGGACCAUCCUCCAAGGCUAAAUACUCCUGACUGACCGAUAGUGAACCAGUACCGUGAGGGAAAGGCGAAAAGAACCCCGGCGAGGGGAGUGAAAAAGAACCUGAAACCGUGUACGUACAAGCAGUGGGAGCACGCUUAGGCGUGUGACUGCGUACCUUUUGUAUAAUGGGUCAGCGACUUAUAUUCUGUAGCAAGGUUAACCGAAUAGGGGAGCCGAAGGGAAACCGAGUCUUAACUGGGCGUUAAGUUGCAGGGUAUAGACCCGAAACCCGGUGAUCUAGCCAUGGGCAGGUUGAAGGUUGGGUAACACUAACUGGAGGACCGAACCGACUAAUGUUGAAAAAUUAGCGGAUGACUUGUGGCUGGGGGUGAAAGGCCAAUCAAACCGGGAGAUAGCUGGUUCUCCCCGAAAGCUAUUUAGGUAGCGCCUCGUGAAUUCAUCUCCGGGGGUAGAGCACUGUUUCGGCAAGGGGGUCAUCCCGACUUACCAACCCGAUGCAAACUGCGAAUACCGGAGAAUGUUAUCACGGGAGACACACGGCGGGUGCUAACGUCCGUCGUGAAGAGGGAAACAACCCAGACCGCCAGCUAAGGUCCCAAAGUCAUGGUUAAGUGGGAAACGAUGUGGGAAGGCCCAGACAGCCAGGAUGUUGGCUUAGAAGCAGCCAUCAUUUAAAGAAAGCGUAAUAGCUCACUGGUCGAGUCGGCCUGCGCGGAAGAUGUAACGGGGCUAAACCAUGCACCGAAGCUGCGGCAGCGACACUAUGUGUUGUUGGGUAGGGGAGCGUUCUGUAAGCCUGUGAAGGUGUACUGUGAGGUAUGCUGGAGGUAUCAGAAGUGCGAAUGCUGACAUAAGUAACGAUAAAGCGGGUGAAAAGCCCGCUCGCCGGAAGACCAAGGGUUCCUGUCCAACGUUAAUCGGGGCAGGGUGAGUCGACCCCUAAGGCGAGGCCGAAAGGCGUAGUCGAUGGGAAACAGGUUAAUAUUCCUGUACUUGGUGUUACUGCGAAGGGGGGACGGAGAAGGCUAUGUUGGCCGGGCGACGGUUGUCCCGGUUUAAGCGUGUAGGCUGGUUUUCCAGGCAAAUCCGGAAAAUCAAGGCUGAGGCGUGAUGACGAGGCACUACGGUGCUGAAGCAACAAAUGCCCUGCUUCCAGGAAAAGCCUCUAAGCAUCAGGUAACAUCAAAUCGUACCCCAAACCGACACAGGUGGUCAGGUAGAGAAUACCAAGGCGCUUGAGAGAACUCGGGUGAAGGAACUAGGCAAAAUGGUGCCGUAACUUCGGGAGAAGGCACGCUGAUAUGUAGGUGAAGCGACUUGCUCGUGGAGCUGAAAUCAGUCGAAGAUACCAGCUGGCUGCAACUGUUUAUUAAAAACACAGCACUGUGCAAACACGAAAGUGGACGUAUACGGUGUGACGCCUGCCCGGUGCCGGAAGGUUAAUUGAUGGGGUUAGCGCAAGCGAAGCUCUUGAUCGAAGCCCCGGUAAACGGCGGCCGUAACUAUAACGGUCCUAAGGUAGCGAAAUUCCUUGUCGGGUAAGUUCCGACCUGCACGAAUGGCGUAAUGAUGGCCAGGCUGUCUCCACCCGAGACUCAGUGAAAUUGAACUCGCUGUGAAGAUGCAGUGUACCCGCGGCAAGACGGAAAGACCCCGUGAACCUUUACUAUAGCUUGACACUGAACAUUGAGCCUUGAUGUGUAGGAUAGGUGGGAGGCUUUGAAGUGUGGACGCCAGUCUGCAUGGAGCCGACCUUGAAAUACCACCCUUUAAUGUUUGAUGUUCUAACGUUGACCCGUAAUCCGGGUUGCGGACAGUGUCUGGUGGGUAGUUUGACUGGGGCGGUCUCCUCCUAAAGAGUAACGGAGGAGCACGAAGGUUGGCUAAUCCUGGUCGGACAUCAGGAGGUUAGUGCAAUGGCAUAAGCCAGCUUGACUGCGAGCGUGACGGCGCGAGCAGGUGCGAAAGCAGGUCAUAGUGAUCCGGUGGUUCUGAAUGGAAGGGCCAUCGCUCAACGGAUAAAAGGUACUCCGGGGAUAACAGGCUGAUACCGCCCAAGAGUUCAUAUCGACGGCGGUGUUUGGCACCUCGAUGUCGGCUCAUCACAUCCUGGGGCUGAAGUAGGUCCCAAGGGUAUGGCUGUUCGCCAUUUAAAGUGGUACGCGAGCUGGGUUUAGAACGUCGUGAGACAGUUCGGUCCCUAUCUGCCGUGGGCGCUGGAGAACUGAGGGGGGCUGCUCCUAGUACGAGAGGACCGGAGUGGACGCAUCACUGGUGUUCGGGUUGUCAUGCCAAUGGCACUGCCCGGUAGCUAAAUGCGGAAGAGAUAAGUGCUGAAAGCAUCUAAGCACGAAACUUGCCCCGAGAUGAGUUCUCCCUGACCCUUUAAGGGUCCUGAAGGAACGUUGAAGACGACGACGUUGAUAGGCCGGGUGUGUAAGCGCAGCGAUGCGUUGAGCUAACCGGUACUAAUGAACCGUGAGGCUUAACCUU